rnacentral:rRNA from 1 species
GAUGAACGCUGACAGAAUGCUUAACACAUGCAAGUCAACUUGAACUUCGGUUUGGGUGGCGGACGGGUGAGUAACGCGUAAAGAGCUUGCCUCACAGAUAGGGACAACAUUUGGAAACGAAUGCUAAUACCUGAUAUUAUGAUUAUAUGGCAUCGUAUAAUUAUGAAAGCUAUAUGCGCUGUGAGAGAGCUUUGCGUCCCAUUAGCUAGUUGGAGAGGUAACGGCUCACCAAGGCGAUGAUGGGUAGCCGGCCUGAGAGGGUGAUCGGCCACAAGGGGACUGAGACACGGCCCUUACUCCUACGGGAGGCAGCAGUGGGGAAUAUUGGACAAUGGACCAAGAGUCUGAUCCAGCAAUUCUGUGUGCACGAUGAAGUUUUUCGGAAUGUAAAGUGCUUUCAGUUGGGAAGAAAAAAAUGACGGUACCAACAGAAGAAGUGACGGCUAAAUACGUG